AUUGAACGCUGGCGGCAUGCUUUACACAUGCAAGUCGAACGGUAACAGGUUAAGCUGACGAGUGGCGAACGGGUGAGUAAUGCAUCGGAACGUGCCCGAUCGUGGGGGAUAACGCAGCGAAAGCUGCGCUAAUACCGCAUACGAUCUGAGGAUGAAAGCGGGGGACCGUAAGGCCUCGCGCGAUCGGAGCGGCCGAUGUCAGAUUAGGUAGUUGGUGGGGUAAAGGCUCACCAAGCCGACGAUCUGUAGCUGGUCUGAGAGGACGACCAGCCACACUGGGACUGAGACACGGCCCAGACUCCUACGGGAGGCAGCAGUGGGGAAUUUUGGACAAUGGGCGAAAGCCUGAUCCAGCAAUGCCGCGUGCAGGAAGAAGGCCUUCGGGUUGUAAAGCUCUUUCGGCUGAAAAGAAAUCGCACAGGCUAAUACCUUGUGUGGAUGACGGUAUCAGCAUAAGAAGCACCGGCUAACUACGUGCCAGCCGCCGCCGUAAAAC
rnacentral:rRNA from 1 species